rnacentral:rRNA from 1 species
UACAGAGGGGGCAAGCGUUGUUCGGAAUUACUGGGCGUAAAGCGCACGUAGGCGGCUUGGUAUGUCGGGUGUGAAAUCCCCGGGCUCAACCUGGGAACUGCAUCCGAAACUGCCUUGCUAGAGUAUGGGAGAGGGAAGUGGAAUUUCCGGUGUAGCGGUGAAAUGCGUAGAUAUCGGAAGGAACAUCAGUGGCGAAGGCGACCUCCUGGACCAAUACUGACGCUCAGGUGCGAAAGCGUGGGGAGCAAACAGG